rnacentral:tRNA from 1 species
ACCUGGUUGGCUCAAUUGGUAGAGCAUGUGACUUUUGAUCUUAGAGUUGUGAGUUAGAGUCCCAUGUUGGGCG